rnacentral:rRNA from 1 species
CCUACGGGAGGCAGCAGUGGGGGAUAUUGGACAAUGGGGGGAACCCUGAUCCAGCGACGCCGCGUGAGUGAAGAAGUAUUUCGGUAUGUAAAGCUCUGUCAGCAGGGAAGAAAGAAAUGACGGUACCUGACCAAGAAGCCCCGGCUAACGACGUGCCAGCAGCCGCGGUAAUACGUAGGGGGCAAGCGUUAUCCGGAAUUACUGGGUGUAAAGGGAGCGUAGACGGUUAAGUAAGUCUGGAGUGAAAGGCCGGGGCGCAACCCCGGGACUGCUCUGGAAACUAUUUAACUUGAGUGCAGGAGGGGUAAGCGGAAUUCCUAGUGUAGCGGUGAAAUGCGUAGAUAUUAGGAGGAACACCAGUGGCGAAGGCGGCUUACUGGACUGUAACUGACGUUGAGGCUCGAAAGCGUGGGGAGCAAACAGGAUUAGAUACCCCAGUAGUC